GCGUCUGAAAAGUGGUGCAGCUGUACAUAUCUGAUUUGACCAAAGUUUGCAGCUUCAUGCACCGGUACACUUUAAAUUCCGACAUCUUGUUGAGAUCUGCUAACCAUCCUGUCCAUCGCUGAGAGCAGGUUUGGGAAUCCUGUCCCACAUUACCCUCUUGUGAAUGAGCUUUAGACAUACUGACUCAGUAUCCCUUUAAGAAACAUUGACAUAAAGCUGUAUGCCUGCUGGAUGGAAUUCUAAACAACCGACUGGUAUUUCAAAACAAAUGAUAUCUGCUAUGAUUCUCCAGGUCACUUUUCAAUUCUACAUUCUAACAGCCGUUUUUCAAUACAGCUUAUCUUUUAGCAGCCAGUUUCCAAUACAGCUUAUCUUAUAUAGCUACACCAAUAAUGCUUCAUGCAGUGCGUUCAGCUGUACAUUUAGCUUCUCCAAUAAAGCUUAAUGCUGUAUGUACUCACUCAUUCCCUGCGCGUUGGUUUCAAAGUUUCCAACCUUCGUGAAUCAGCUUAGCGCAGGUGGUGACCUUGUCCAAUUGAUCGGGAAAGAUGGCGUCGGGCUCGUGAAAUAAAAUAAUCCUUUGUUCUCGGGUUUUAUCAAGCUCCAGUUUCACUCAAAAUGAUAGUUCUCACUUAAAUGUAAUGGCAAUUUUAUAGCGCACUCUUUUGUUUUCUGUAUAAAAAUCCAAAAAUUCUGGAACAAAAUAUUUGAAAUCUUCACAAAAUUAUUUAAAACAAAACUUCUA